UAGGGAAUCUUCGGCAAUGGACGAAAGUCUGAUCGAGCAACGCCGCGUGAGUGAAGAAGGUUUUCGGAUCGUAAAACUCUGUUGUUAGAGAAGAACAAGGGUGAGAGUAACUGUUCACCCCUUGACGGUAUCUAACCAGAAAGCCACGGCUAACUACGUGCCAG
rnacentral:rRNA from 1 species